rnacentral:tRNA from 1 species
GGGGGUGGACGGGUCCUGGUGGGCCUCCUGGUCUUCAAAACCAGCCGGCGGGCGAAAAGCAAGCCCGUGGUGGGUUCGAUUCCCACGCACUCCCGCCA